rnacentral:rRNA from 1 species
ACGGGGGCCCGCACAAGCGGAGGAGCAUGUGGUUUAAUUCGAUGAUACGCGAGGAACCUUACCGUGGGCUUGAAAGUUAGUGACAUUCUGUGAAAGCAGAACUUCCGCAAGGACACGAAACUAGGUGCUGCAUGGCUGUCGUCAGCUCGUGCCGUGAGGUGUUGGGUUAAGUCCCGUAACGAGCGCAACCCCUAUCAUUAGUUGCCAUCAGGUCAUGCUGGGGACUCUAAUGAGACUGCCCGCGCAAGCGGUGAGGAAGGUGGGGACGACGUCAAGUCAUCACGGCCCUUACGUCCAGGGCUACACACGUGCUACAAUGGUAGAUACAGCAGGUUGCCACAUGGUAACAUGGAGCUAAUCCCAAAAGUCUAUCUCAGUUCGGAUUGAGGUCUGCAACUCGACCUCAUGAAGCUGGAUUCGCUAGUAAUCGAAAAUCAGCAAUGUUUCGGUGAAUACGUUCCGGGCCUU